CACAGUACUGUGCAGAAGUUUUAGGCAUGUAGAGCACUAACGGUUCUUCACAGGUCCUGAUGUCCCACAACCCCGGGCAGAAGAGAGGAGGGAGGGUGGCCAGAGUCAAUGUCGACACGCUUGACAUGUACAUGUGUCGCUCAGCAGCCAAGGUCGAGCUUAACAGCAUUUCUUUUGUCUGGGCCUUUGCAACCCUGGUAACACGCCCAGCAACCACCAACAGUUUUCAGAUUAUUUUCCCAUGUCCUUGGUAAUGUACAACGACAUCCAGAGCAUGACCUGGGUGCUGUCAACCCUCCUUCCCGCCUGAUGGGGCCCUCAGGUCGGGUCGCGGGGGCAGCAGCCUAAGCAGGAAAGCCCAGACUUCC